AUGAGGAUGAAAAAUAAUCGGUCUUCCUUCGUACCGGCCCGCCCAGCUAAACUCUCCUUCGUUCCUCUGCAGAAACGAGCGAGACCGAGAAGCUGUAGGAUGAGGUUUCAUGCUGCCAGAGCAAGCUGCGCAAGGAGAUCGACUCCAUCGGCGACGACCUCAACGUACGCACUCCAGUCCGCUCCUCUGCUCCACGCCCUCCGCUCCAGCCCUCCCUCCAGCCGCCGGCCACUCCGGCCGCGCGUCCACCUCCCCCCGCCGCUGACCACCCCGGUUGCGGUGUCCACCCCCCUCGCUGGACCUCCGACCCCAGGUGCGAUGGCGGACGGCUCCUCCAGCCCGCCUUCGGUCUCCUUGGCGUUUCCUAGGCCGAGCCGGUGGUUUCCGGCCUGGGCCUCUCGGGAUCCCCUGGAUCCAGCCGUGCUGCUGCUUCGGGACGACCACAAGAAGCAGGACUACACCAACCGUCCCAUGUGCUUCCGCUGCGGCUUUGAAGGCCAUGAAUCAUUCCAAUGCAAGCAUCCUCGGAGCCCAGGUUCGGAGCGAGAGCUGAUCCGAGCGGUCCUGGCCAAGAUGGGCCGCCUGGCUCCGUCUGCUGUGGUGGCUGGUGCUGAGAGACAGACCUCACCGGCGCCUAGGCAGGAAGUACCCUUGGUACCUCCCUCGCCGGCGGUGGCUGAACCUUUGUCCUCAGCAUGGCCACCGACCCAGCUCUCUUCUGGGGGAUGUGUGCUCUGCCGCUCCCCGGAGAUGGACGACAUGGAGCGCCGACUUUGUCUGGCGGUGGUGGUCUACAUUGGUGGUGUGAGGCCGUCGAUCUCCUGUGUGGAGGCGGCAGAAGCCAUUUCGGCGCAGUUGGAGAUUCCACGUCAUCGCUUCUUUGUUCAUCGUUUCCAACCGGAGGAUUUCCUUAUCGUCUUUGCCACUCCAGAGCUUCGCAACAUUGCCCUCCAUUCCAUCCCUGUUGAGAAUGGAAGCUUCAAGCUUUUCUUUAAGCCAUGGCUGCGGCAGGCGCAAGCUACCGCUAAGGCAAUGAGGGUGCAGGUGGAUCUUAUGAUUGAGGGAAUCCCUUCACAUGCGUGGUCUCAAGAUACGGCUGCUGAGAUCCUUGGGACUGCUUGCAAAAUUGACAGCUUGGCGCCUGAAACAGCGGACAGAUCAGAUUUUUCGAUGUUCAAGGUUCGUUCUUGGUGUGUGUGCAGCCAGAGGAUAUCCCGAUGGACAAGAGGCUGUGGAUCCCUGAGCUGGAAUUGGAAGAUGCACGGCAGCGGCGUGCAUCGUCUCGCCAAUUCCUGGAGUACUCAACGCUCAUUCACAUUGGCAAGCUCUGGGAUUUCAAUGGCCCGGAGAACUGGCGCCAUCCGGCGAGUUCUGGCAGUAGCGGUGCUGCCAUGGAUGCGCGGCAAGAGAGAUGACUGUGGUGGAGCGGCUGGGGCUGCCGGCAUUGGAGCAACUGGCAGGUCCUUCAGGAAAGUUUUGAUGGGCAGAUUGGGUGAGUCCAACUGGCGAUUGCCUACUAUUGGAUCCAGCAACAGGCAGGUGGCAGGAGCGCCGGCUAGCAGGAUUAGCACCUCUGGUGAGCUCCUGGCAUCGAGGCAGGCGGUGGUGGUGCCAGCGUCCCAGGCUGGCACACCGGAUCCUUGUGGUCGUCCUGUGGCUGCCGAGGCACAACACACAGCGGCGCCCCUGCAGCUCCUGGUUGCAGCAGAUCCUGUGCCAGUGACAGCUGUCCCGCUGGCACGGGUGACGCUACCGGUAUGCGCGGGCCCCGAGGUGGAUGUGGUGGUUGCACCGGCAGUGUUGGAGUUUCCCUCUAUCCACCUGCCAUUGGCUAAUCAGAAUGCGGCCGUGCCAUCUGUGGCAGCCGACAAAGGUGGGGUUGUUCUGGAAGGAGACAUAGACAGUGGCCCAUCGACAAGAUGGUGGGUGCAAAUCAGCUGGAUGCCUCUUUCGAGGAGACAUGGGUGGCCUCGCUUGGUCACAUGUCACAGGAGGGUGGUGUGGGUGAUGCCAGUAAUCAGGAUGCUGCUGUCCUCUGUUCCCCUGCUGCGGGCUGGGCCCUGGUGGAGGAGAUCUUGUCGGCCACCUCCCCAUUGGUGCCAGCUGGUGGGCCCUAGGAGAUUCCCCGAAGCUGGAUGUGACCCAGCCAUGCAACCUAUCGCUGGCGGGCGGGCCGGAUGUGACGCGCACAUGCAACGUGCUAGCUAUUACCACCCCGCCUUCCAUGGCUCAGUUGGACGUGCUGCCUGGUGCGGAUGGUAG
rnacentral:rRNA from 1 species